GAUGCCGGAAGCUGCACAUAUUAAAAUUGGAACGAUACAGAGAAGACUAGCAUGGCCCCUGCGCAAAGGCUG
rnacentral:snRNA from 1 species